rnacentral:rRNA from 1 species
GACGAACGCUGGCGGCGUGCUUAACACAUGCAAGUCGAACGGAAAGGCCCCUUUGGGGGUACUCGAGUGGCGGACGGGUGAGUAACACGUACGUAACCUGCCCUUGACUUAGGGAUAACUUCAGUAAACUGGGUCUAAUACCGGCUAGGAAUCCUUGCUGCAUGGUGGGGGUUGGAAAGAUUCGUCGGGUUUGGAUGGAUUCGCGGGCUAUCUGUGUGUUGGUGGGGUAGGGGCUGACCAAGGCGUUGAUGGGCGGCUAGCCUGUGAGGGCGAGCGGCCACAUUGGGGCUGAGAGACGGCCCAGACUCCCACGGGAGGCAGAGGUGGGGAAUAUUGCACAAUGGGCGGAAGCGUGAUGCAGAAAAGCCGCGUGCGGGAUGACGGGCUUCGGGUUGUAAAACGCGUUCAGCAGGGGCGAAGCUUGUGGUGACGGUACCUGCAGAAGAAGCACCGGCUAACUACGUG